CUUGUGGAUUGUGAUAAAAACGCAAGACAGAAAAAAACGCAUUCUUUAGGUCAUUUCACGCAUUUCGCUUUUCGAUCUGCAUUGAAGCCAUACCCUCUGCCAUCAAUGGAGUCGCUUAAUCCUUUGCUCUCUGCCACUAUUAAUGUUUCACUGGCUUACCAUUGCAUCAGCUUUUUCAGUUCUCUGUCAAUAUGAUUGUCAGGAGUCAUAACUCAUAAGCAAGUGUCAGCAUUAUCAUCUCAUAUGCAAGCAAUCUGAGUAAUUCUUCGAGGAUUGGAAAAAUUUUGUCUCAAACUUAUUACAAGUUGGCUUGAUCUUCUCUGGUCUGUUUUUCAACACAAGAAUAAUUUUCGACGUUCAAGAGCCAAAUUUCGUUUGCUAUCCAGUAAGGAUUCAAAGUUCAAUACUUUAAGAAUAUGGUGAGAUCUAGAUUCAGAAACUUGAUUAGAUUGAUUCGGGAUAAGAAUUCCAACCUCUGUUGUGCCAUGUAUACUGCAUAUGCCAUGAACGAAGGGCAAUUUCUACUACAUAGAAGGCACAUCAAUCAUGACUGCGAGCAUUAGAAGGAAAUAUAAAAAGAGAAAAAAUGGACAGGCGAUAUGAUUUGUUAGAGAUGAUUGCACCGCCAAAAGAAUGCUGGAAGAUUCAUGUCAAAGUAAUCAAACUCUGGUCUUUACUGAAAUUCAAAGACCCCUAAUCCAAUAGCUCCAUUAAAAUGGUGUUGAUGAAUGAGCAUUCAUCCACACAAUUGUUUCUCUGUUUUCAUACACUUAGUCCCACAAUUGUAUGAUCCUCACUAUCAUAAUUGUUAUAAUUUCAAUCUCGACAGUUUCUGCUUUUCUUGGGACUAUUCAAUUA